UACGUAGGCGGCGCUGUCAGUCGGGUGUGAAAUCCCACGGCUCAACCGUGGAACUGCGCCCGAUACUGCAGUGCUUGAGGGAGACAGAGGUAAGCGGAACUGAUGGUGGAGCGGUGAAAUGCGUUGAUAUCAUCAGGAACACCGGUGGCGAAAGCGGCUUACUGGGUCUCUUCUGACGCUGAGGUACGAAAGCUAGGGGAGCAAAGG
rnacentral:rRNA from 1 species